UACGUAGGGUGCGAGCGUUGUCCGGAAUUACUGGGCGUAAAGAGCUCGUAGGUGGUUUGUCGCGUUGUUCGUGAAAACUCACAACUCAAUUGUGGGCGUGCGGGCGAUACGGGCAGACUGGAGUACUGCAGGGGAGACUGGAAUUCCUGGUGUAGCGGUGAAAUGCGCAGAUAUCAGGAGGAACACCGGUGGCGAAGGCGGGUCUCUGGGCCGAAACUGACGCUGAGGAGCGAAAGCGUGGGGAGCAAACAGG
rnacentral:rRNA from 1 species